rnacentral:lncRNA from 1 species
UUUUUCUUCUUCAUUUUUUCUCCCCAAGGUCACGCCUCUCCUCUCUCUCUCUUACUAUCACAAUUUUCUUCCAUCAUCCUCCAUUAUUAACCAUUCUCAAAGCUUCUUAGAUCAUUUCUAUGCUAUCAUCUCCAUUAAAAUCAAACUAUAAAAACCAUAUAUAUUUGAAAUCAAGAGCAUCUUUGAAGAAGUUAAAGCUUGAAGUCAAGAAGGAGGAUUUUAUUUUUGUACAAAAAAAACAUUGAGUAAGUAUUAGAUCUAAGCUUGAGUAAGUUAUAUAUGUGUGUAUAUCUAUUAUAUAAUAGGAUUAAGCCUUAACCUAUGUGGCAUAUCUAAAAUCUCACCAUUUCAAAAUUUACCAUAUAUAAUCUUCAUCAUUUAUUAAUUAAUUAACUAUUACACAUUCUAUAUAAAGAUUCAUUAAUCAUAAUAAAUAUAAUUA